UACGGAGGGUGCAAGCGUUAUCCGGAUUCACUGGGUUUAAAGGGUGCGUAGGUGGGCAGGUAAGUCAGUGGUGAAAUCUCCGAGCUUAACUCGGAAACUGCCAUUGAUACUAUAGGUCUUGAAUUAUCUGGAGGUAAGCGGAAUAUGUCAUGUAGCGGUGAAAUGCUUAGAUAUGACAUAGAACACCAAUUGCGAAGGCAGCUUACUACGGAUAUAUUGACACUGAGGCACGAAAGCGUGGGGAUCAAACAGG
rnacentral:rRNA from 1 species